rnacentral:rRNA from 1 species
CAGUAGCCACGGGAAUACGGAGGGUGCAAGCGUUAAUCGGAAUUACUGGGCGUAAAGCGUGCGUAGGCGGUUUGUUAAGUCUGCUGUGAAAUCCCCGGGCUCAACCUGGGAAUGGCAGUGGAUACUGGCAAGCUAGAGUGUGUCAGAGGAUGGUGGAAUUCCCGGUGUAGCGGUGAAAUGCGUAGAGAUCGGGAGGAACAUCAGUGGCGAAGGCGGCCAUCUGGGACAACACUGACGCUGAGGCACGAAAGCGUGGGGAGCAAACAGGAUUAGAUACCCCUGUAGUCCCUGUCUCUUAUAC